rnacentral:rRNA from 1 species
CCUACGGGAGGCAGCAGUGGGGAAUAUUGGACAAUGGGCGAAAGCCUGAUCCAGCAAUUCCGCGUGUGUGAAGAAGGCCUUCGGGUUGUAAAGCACUUUAGUGGGGGAAGAAACAGCUUGGCCACACCAAGCCUUGACGGUACCCCAAGAAUAAGCACCGGCUAACUCUGUGCCAGCAGCCGCGGUAAUACAGAGGGUGCAAGCGUUAAUCGGAUUUACUGGGCGUAAAGGGUGCGUAGGUGGCUAUUUAAGUCGGAUGUGAAAGCCCGGGGCUCAACCUCGGAAUUGCAUUCGAUACUGAGUGGCUAGAGUUCGGUAGAGGGCGGCGGAAUUUCCGGUGUAGCGGUGAAAUGCGUAGAUAUCGGAAGGAACAUCAAUGGCGAAGGCAGCCGCCUGGGCCUGGACUGACACUGAGGCACGAAAGCGUGGGUAGCAAACAGGAUUAGAUACCCUGGUAGUCCACGCCGUAAACGAUGAGAACUUGACGUUGGUUCGUUUUACGAAUCGGUGUCGCNGCUACGACGAUAAGUUACUCCGUCCGUCGGGUAGGUACGGCCGGCCGACGGUUAGGUAAACGUUAAAAGGUAAAGUUAGUACGGUUCGUUGUAGACGUUGCGACGGCGACGACGAGGGAGGAGG